UACGUAGGGUGCGAGCGUUGUCCGGAAUUACUGGGCGUAAAGAGCUCGUAGGUGGUUUGUCGCGUUGUUCGUGAAAACUCACAACUCAAUUGUGGGCGUGCGGGCGAUACGGGCAGACUGGAGUACUGCAGGGGAGACUGGAAUUCCUGGUGUAGAGGUGAAAUUCGUAGAUAUCGGGAGGAACACCGGUGGCGAAGGCGGCGACCUGGGUCGAUACUGACGCUGAUGCGCGAAAGCGUGGGGGAGCAAACAGG
rnacentral:rRNA from 1 species